GACGAACGCUGGCGGCGUGCCUAAUACAUGCAAGUCGAACGCAUUUUCUUUCACCGUAGCUUGCUACACCGAAAGAAAAUGAGUGGCGAACGGGUGAGUAACACGUGGGUAACCUGCCCAUCAGCGGGGGAUAACACUUGGAAACAGGUGCUAAUACCGCAUAAUUCCAUUUACCGCAUGGUAAGUGGAUGAAAGGCGCUUUUGCGUCACUGAUGGAUGGACCCGCGGUGCAUUAGCUAGUUGGUGGGGUAACGGCCUACCAAGGCUGCGAUGCAUAGCCGACCUGAGAGGGUGAUCGGCCACACUGGGACUGAGACACGGCCCAGACUCCUACGGGAGGCAGCAGUAGGGAAUCUUCGGCAAUGGACGCAAGUCUGACCGAGCAACGCCGCGUGAUUGAAGAAGGUUUUCGGAUCGUAAAACUCUGUUGUUAGAGAAGAACAAGGGUGAGAGUGGAAAGUUCAUCCCUUGACGGUAUCUAACCAGAAAGCCACGGCUAACUACGUG
rnacentral:rRNA from 1 species